AGCGGACGCUGGCGGCAGGCCUAACACAUGCAAGUCGAACGAAGCCUUCGGGCUUAGUGGCGGACGGGUGAGUAACACGUGGGAACGUACCUUUUGGUUCGGAACAACUCAGGGAAACUUGAGCUAAUACCGGAUGAGCCCUUAGGGGGAAAGAUUUAUCGCCGAAAGAGCGGCCCGCGUUAGAUUAGCUAGUUGGUAAGGUAAAGGCUCACCAAGGCUACGAUCUAUAGCUGGUCUGAGAGGAUGAUCAGCCACACUGGGACUGAGACACGGCCCAGACUCCUACGGGAGGCAGCAGUGGGGAAUCUUGCGCAAUGGGCGAAAGCCUGACGCAGCCAUGCCGCGUGAAUGAUGAAGGUCUUAGGAUUGUAAAAUUCUUUUACCAGGGACGAUAAUGACGGUACCUGGAGAAAAAGCCCCGGCUAACUUCGUGCCAGCCGCCGCGGUAACAC
rnacentral:rRNA from 1 species